rnacentral:rRNA from 1 species
GCUUACGGCCAUACCAACCUGGCUAUGCCCGAUCUCGUCUGCUCUCGAAGCUAAGCAGGUUUGGGCCUGGUUAGUACUUGGAUGGGAGACCGCCUGGGAAUACCAGGUGCUGUAAGCU